UGAGUUUGAUCAUGGCUCAGAUUGAACGCUGGCGGCAUGCCUUACACAUGCAAGUCGAACGGUAACAGGUCUUCGGAUGCUGACGAGUGGCGAACGGGUGAGUAAUACAUCGGAACGUGCCCGAUCGUGGGGGAUAACGGAGCGAAAGCUUUGCUAAUACCGCAUACGAUCUACGGAUGAAAGCAGGGGACCGCAAGGCCUUGCGCGGACGGAGCGGCCGAUGGCAGAUUAGGUAGUUGGUGGGAUAAAAGCUUACCAAGCCGACGAUCUGUAGCUGGUCUGAGAGGACGACCAGCCACACUGGGACUGAGACACGGCCCAGACUCCUACGGGAGGCAGCAGUGGGGAAUUUUGGACAAUGGGCGAAAGCCUGAUCCAGCCAUGCCGCGUGCAGGAUGAAGGCCUUCGGGUUGUAAACUGCUUUUGUACGGAACGAAAAGACUCCUUCUAAUAAAGGGGGUUCAUGACGGUACCGUAAGAAUAAGCACCGGCUAACUACGUGCCAGCAGCCGCGGUAAUACGUAGGGUGCAAGCGUUAAUCGGAAUUACUGGGCGUAAAGCGUGCGCAGGCGGUUAUAUAAGACAGAUGUGAAAUCCCCGGGCUCAACCUGGGAACUGCAUUUGUGACUGUAUAGCUAGAGUACGGCAGAGGGGGAUGGAAUUCCGCGUGUAGCA
rnacentral:rRNA from 1 species